UUAUCCGGAAUUACUGGGUGUAAAGGGUGCGUAGGUGGGUAGACAAGUCGGAAGUGAAAUCCCUGGGCUCAACCCUGGGAACUGCUUUAGAAACUGUUGUGCUUGAGUGCUGGAGAGGUAGGCGGAAUUCCCGGUGUAGCGGUGGAAUGCGUAGAUAUCGGGAGGAACACCAGUGGCGAAGGCGGCCUACUGGACACUAUCUGACGCUGAGGCUCGAAAGUGUGGGUAGCAAACAGGAUUAGAUACCCUGGUAGUCCACACCGUAAACGAUGAUUACUAGGUGUUGGAGGAUUUACCACC
rnacentral:rRNA from 1 species